rnacentral:lncRNA from 1 species
CAGCUGUGUCCCGGAGCACCCAGUGAACAUGCAUUUAAGGCACACGUAAAUGAACAGAUGGGGUGCAGUGAGGAGCUGGCUGGAGACACCAAGUCAAGGCCCUGGAUUUGGACUGAAGAUGCCCCGUUGCCUUGGAGACCAGCCACAGGCUUCCUGGGAAUGAUUGUGCAGGUGAUCGCUUCGGGAGGAAGACAGGGCCACAGAAGCAUCGAUAAAAAUCGGAGCGUUUACGGAUCGGCUCGAAGCCCAUCACUUCGCACAUCGUUCACAUUGCUCCCGCCUCCCCGCCUGUCUCUCCCUGGACAAUAGGUGUCUGCUCCACACCCACUCUCUGCUGCGCGAGAAAGGGCCUGUCUCGUUGUGAAGAGCCCUUCCUUCCGGCUUCCUGGGUUGGAGGUAAACACCCCAGGGAGAAUGCGCCCCUUGUCUGGCCGGCUGCGGACGGUGGGAGAGGCGGGGGCAGC